rnacentral:lncRNA from 1 species
UAUAUACUUGAAAUAUUAUUUCAAGUUAUAUGCUUUGACAUUUUUUGGAAGUAAACAAAUAUUGAAGAAAGUGUUGUGCCUUCACAGAAUUUAAAUUGGCAUUAGGAAUAGAUUUCCUUGAUUUAGUAAUGAUAUUGCUCAUAGAAAUUGAUAAUGUGAAGAAUAACAAUACAGGAACAUAGAAUAACAAGAAAGAAAUUCUAGCAGCAAGUUAGGUUAUGAGAUAAAUUUUAUUUAUAUAGUUUGUUUAAAGAGUUUAGUUUGAAAAAAAGGGACACAGUAAAAAGACAAAACAUUUAGACCCUUUGAAAGAGAAAUGUUUGCAAUGGAUAUUAAUAAAUUCUAGCCAAUUUGUACGAUGUACAAUGCAGGCAAUAUUUCUGCCUCCUAACGCACUAUUCGCGUAAAAGAAGAUAACAGAUUUAUUAUUAGUUGGCUAGUGUGUUAGUAGGAUAGCCAUUGGUAGUUAUAAAGUAUGAAGUCGUCAGGUAUUAAUAAUAAGAAUUGAUCAAAGCUUAUACAUUUAUUGUGAUAUUUAUAUUGUGAAUUUAAGUAGUUAGUUUUGGUUGUUUAAUAAACAAAUUAAUGUGCUUAUUGUGUAUCUAAUUAAAAGAACAAUGAAAAGUUGAAUACCAUAGGGGUAUGUAUGUUAUACAAAGAAUUUGCAUCAACAUUUUUUUGGUUAUAUACUUGUACUGAUAUUUGUUUCUUGAACUAAAGAAUUAUACAG